AUUGAACGCUGGCGGAAUGCUUUACACAUGCAAGUCGAACGGCAGCACGGACUUCGGUCUGGUGGCGAGUGGCGAACGGGUGAGUAAUACAUCGGAACGUGCCCAGUCGUGGGGGAUAACGUAGCGAAAGCUACGCUAAUACCGCAUACGAUCUAAGGAUGAAAGCGGGGGAUCGCAAGACCUCGCGCGAUUGGAGCGGCCGAUGGCAGAUUAGGUAGUUGGUGGGGUAAAGGCUCACCAAGCCGACGAUCUGUAGCUGGUCUGAGAGGACGACCAGCCACACUGGGACUGAGACACGGCCCAGACUCCUACGGGAGGCAGCAGUGGGGAAUUUUGGACAAUGGGCGCAAGCCUGAUCCAGCCAUUCCGCGUGCAGGAUGAAGGCCCUCGGGUUGUAAACUGCUUUUGUACGGAACGAAAAGGCUCUGGUUAAUACCCGGGGCUCAUGACGGUACCGUAAGAAUAAGCACCGGCUAACUACGUGCCAGCCGCCGCCGUAA
rnacentral:rRNA from 1 species